rnacentral:rRNA from 1 species
AUUACCUCAGUAACGGCGAGUGAAGCGGUAACAGCUCAAAUUUGAAAGCUAGCUCUUUUAGGGUUCGCAUUGUAAUUUGUAGAAGAUGCUUCGGGUGUGGCCCCGGUCUAAGUUCCUUGGAACAGGACGUCAUAGAGGGUGAGAAUCCCGUAUGUGACUGGGUGCUUUCGCUCAUGUGAAGCUCUUUCGACGAGUCGAGUUGUUUGGGAAUGCAGCUCAAAAUGGGUGGUAAAUUUCAUCUAAAGCUAAAUAUUGGCCAGAGACCGAUAGCGCACAAGUAGAGUGAUCGAAAGAUGAAAAGCACUUUGGAAAGAGAGUUAAACAGUACGUGAAAUUGUUGAAAGGGAAGCGCUUGCAACCAGACUUGCGCGUGGAUGAUCAUCCGAACUUCUGUCCGGUGCACUCUUCUACGCUCAGGCCAGCAUCGGUUUCGGUGGUGGGAUAAAGGCCUUGGGAAUGUAGCUCCUCUCGGGGAGUGUUAUAGCCCUCGGUGCAAUGCCGCCUACCGGGACCGAGGACCGCGCUUCGGCUAGGAUGCUGGCGUAAUGGUUGUAAGCGACCCGUCUUGAAACACGGACCA